GCGACCCACUCACUCGUUCACUCACUCAUUCAUUCACUCGUUAACUCAUUCACUCACUCACUCAUUCACUCAUUCACUCCUUCACUCGCUCACUCACUCAUUCACUCACUCAGUCGUUUACUCACCCCUUUUACUCACUUGCUCAUUCAUUUACUCAUUCACUCAUUCACUAACCCAUUCACUCACUCACUCAUUCACUCACCCAUUCACUCACUCACCCAUUCACUUACUCAUUCACUCAUUCACUCACCCAUUCACUCACUCACUCACUCACUCAUUCACUCCUUCACUCGCUCACUCACUCAUUCACUCACCCUUUUACUCACUUGCUCAUUCAUUUACUCAUUCACUCACUCAUUCACUGACCCAUUCACUCACUCACUCACUCAUUCACUCACCCAUUCACUCACUCACCCAUUCACUCACUCACCCAUUCACUCACUCAUUCACUCAUUCACUCACCCAUUCACUCACUCACUCACUCAUUCACUCAUUCACUCACCCAUUCACUCACUCAUUCAUUCCCUCAUUCACUCACUCAGUCAUUCACUAACUCACCCUUUCACUCACUCACCCAUUCACUCAUUCACUCACUUAUUCACUCACUCACUCAUUUCCUCAUUCAUUCACUCAAUCAUUCACUCACUCAAAUCAUUCACUCAUUCACUCACUCAUUCACCUCUUCACUCACUCAUUCACUCAUCACCCUUUACUCACACACUCACUCAUUUAUUGACUCAUUCACUCACUCACUCGUUCAUUCACUCACUCACUUCUUCACUCCCUCAUUCACUUGUUCACUCACUGACUCAUUCACUCACUCUUUCCCUCACCCAUUCACUCACUCACCCACUCAUCUGUUCACUCACUCAUUCACCCACUCACCCAUUCACUAAGUCAUUCAUUCACUCACUCACCCAUCACUCAUUUAUUCCCUCAGUCACUCACUCAUUCACUCACUCACUCAUUCACUCACUUAUUCACUUACUCACUUAUUCACUCACUCAUUCACUAAGUCGCUCAUUCAUUCACUUACUCACUUAUUCACUCACCCAUUCACUCACUCACUCAUUCACUCAUUCACUCACUCAGCAAUUCACUCACUCACUCACGUUCACUCAUUCACUCAUUUACCCACUCACUCACUCAUUUCUCCUUCCCUCAUCCACUCACUCACUCAUUCACUGA
rnacentral:lncRNA from 1 species